rnacentral:rRNA from 1 species
GUGGGGAAUCUUGCGCAAUGCGCGAAAGCGUGACGCAGCAACGCCGCGUGGGGGAAGAAGGCUUUCGGGUUGUAAACCCCUUUCAGUUGGGACGAAGCUUCUCCGGUGAAUAGCCGGACGGAGUGACGGUACCUUCACAAGAAGCACCGGCUAACUACGUGCCAGCAGCCGCGGUAAUACGUAGGGUGCAAGCGUUGUCCGGAAUUAUUGGGCGUAAAGAGCGUGUAGGCGGCCCGAUUAGUCCGCUGUGAAAGUCCAGGGCUCAACCCUGGAAUGCCGGUGGAUACUGUCGGGCUAGAGUCCGGAAGGGGCGAGUGGAAUUCCUGGUGUAGCGGUGAAAUGCGCAGAUAUCAGGAGGAACACCAAUGGCGAAGGCAGCUCGCUGGGACGUGACUGACGCUGAGACGCGAAAGCGUGGGGAGCAAACAGGAUUAGAAACCCUGGUAGUCC